AUUGAACGCUGGCGGCAUGCUUUACACAUGCAAGUCGAAUGGCAGCGCGGGCUUCGGCCUGGCGGCGAGUGGCGAACGGGUGAGUAAUACAUCGGAACGUGCCCAGUAGUGGGGGAUAGCUCGGCGAAAGCCGGAUUAAUACCGCAUACGACCUGAGGGUGAAAGCGGGGGAUCUUCGGACCUCGCGCUAUUGGAGCGGCCGAUGGCAGAUUAGCUAGUUGGUGGGGUAAAGGCCUACCAAGGCGACGAUCUGUAGCUGGUCUGAGAGGACGACCAGCCACACUGGGACUGAGACACGGCCCAGACUCCUACGGGAGGCAGCAGUGGGGAAUUUUGGACAAUGGGCGAAAGCCUGAUCCAGCAAUGCCGCGUGUGUGAUGAAGGCCUUCGGGUUGUAAAGCACUUUUGGCGGGAACGAAAAGGACUGUGCCAAUACCACGGUUCGAUGACGGUACCCGCAGAAUAAGCACCGGCUAACUACGUG
rnacentral:rRNA from 1 species